rnacentral:rRNA from 1 species
UACAGAGGUCUCAAGCGUUGUUCGGAUUCAUUGGGCGUAAAGGGUGCGUAGGUGGCGCCGUAAGUCAGGUGUGAAAUUUCGGAGCUUAACUCCGAAACUGCAUUUGAUACUGCGGUGCUUGAGGACUGGAGAGGAGACUGGAAUUUACGGUGUAGCAGUGAAAUGCGUAGAGAUCGUAAGGAAGACCAGUGGCGAAGGCGGGUCUCUGGACAGUUCCUGACACUGAGGCACGAAGGCCAGGGGAGCGAACGGG